UGCUUCAAUAGAUGGCGUUGAUCAAUGAACAGUUUUUCUCAUUUUUAGCUUCACUGGUGUCCUCUUGCGGUGAAAUUAUCCGUAAUUUUGAAUUGGGAUUUUGAUUAAUUUUUUUAUUGUUCAAUAAUUAUUGAUUUUAUCAUUUUAUUUUUAUCUUUUCUUCAUUUUCUUUAUUCCCUAUGUUUAUGUCUUGUUCAAUUUUAUUGUAUUCCAAGGUGAUUAAUUGUUCUUACUUUUGUAUUUCAUGUGUUGCAUUCAUCUUUAAGAAAGGUCGGUUAGGAAAUUGAAAGAACGAUGAAAAGAAAAGCUUAAGUUGAAGAGUAACCGGUGGAAAGGUUACCAGACUGUACAAUGGAAGUCCAAAUUGACCUUUUGUUUUUGACUAAGGGACACAACAGGAAGGGUAAACGGACUUGAAUUUACAAUCGCCAUUGGAAAAAAUUGGAGUCAAACUGGAAAAUAACAUACAAACGGCGGAAGGGCAAUAAUAAUGUGUUUAUGUGUAUACAAAAUGAUUAACAAAUGGAGAUCAAAUAACGGUCAACUUUGGUCCAUCAAGGAUGAAAGGGAGAGAAAAGGUGAUCCGUUAAAAACAUGGUGAAUCCCAAAAAAAGAAGAAGGAGGAAAAUCAAUUUCUGCCGAGCAAACUGUUGGAUGAGGCCACUUUCUCUUCAUCUUUUCAUUUCAAGUUGUCGUCGACUUUAUCCGCAUCAUUUUACAUCAAAACUUGACCUUAUAAUGUCCCCAGGUCAAACAUCGGCUCAUCUUGAUCUAACUUUCUCUCUUUCUCUCUCUCUCUUUACGCUGUUAGAGGCCAAUUAGAGGUUAACAUUUGAUUGACAAGUAACACCAACAUUGGAAGAUGUUAAUUUCAUUUUCAUCUCUCUUCAUAUGUUCACUUGAAUCAGCAGAAAGCAGUGAACGAAGGUAGCACCAGAAGCUGAUGCUGAUGCUGAUGAUGACGAUGAUGAGCAACAAUAACGACAUACCAAUGAUCAGGAUGGGGAAAUGAUGAUUGGAUAUAAACAUUAAACAUAAUCUUGAGUCUACAAUUAGCCUCUCAAGAAAAAAAAGAAGAUAAUGAUUCCCUUGAGAUACUUCUCUUUGCCAAUACAACGUUCUCCAGCAGAUAAUAACAAUCAUCAUCUAAUUCAUUCACAUUACAAGUGGAUAGCAAACUUAACCUUUAAAGGUAGAAUAAUUAUGCAUAGGAAAUGGCAGCGAUAAAUUUAUUAAUUGCAAUUGACAGAAAUUCAUUUUCUAUGCAUUUUGCAUGCUUUUUAGUCCUGUUUUUACACAGGAAGAUGAAGGAAAGUCCAUUAGUUUUCACUGGGAAAACAUCGUCAAAAAUUGGUGAAAAACCAUUCCUGUUAUCGACACAAAUCAAGAUCGAUAAAGAUUGAAUCAAGAAAGAGAUAGGAAAGACAUGAGAUAUACAUUGGCAUAUCUUUGGGAUACAAGUUAUGACAGCAUGGAAAAUGGAAAGCCCUGAAAAUUCCAACCUGUUUUCUUGUUGUUACCUUCUGACAGCAUUUCACUUUGAUCAUUCACUUGGACGUGCUAAUUGACAUGCAGUUAAUAAAAUAAGCACACGUUAGAUGACACUAUAAGCGCUUUAAAAACGUUGCUCGAAGGUUCAAUUAUUGUAUCAAUUUUGAAAAUUGCUUAACCGUCAAAUUGGGAAAAAUUAGCUUUGAUUGCAAACUAGACAAGUGAUUAUGGUUAUGAUUUCUGGCAAAGCUUACGAAUGGAUUCUAAUCAAACUCGUUUUACUCUUUCCUGUGAUCAAAGUCACGUAAUAAUCAAGAAUUAUCAUGAAACGGGAAAAUUGAAACAAACCUUGGAGAUGAUUGGAAUAAUUGUUGGAUAAUCACCAAUCAAUGCGAGAAUUAAAAUCAAUUGGAAUUGAAAGAAACUGGUUAAUCUAUUUUUGUAUUCAUUUGUUUUUCUGGUUAAACAUUUGGUUGUUACCAGAUUUAGAGCCUUGAACCAGGAAGCUUUAUUAACCUCUUUUCCAAGCGCUAAAAUUGAUCUUAAAUGACGAUGGAAAGAUUGAUUAUGGUUGACAUUCAAUGGGAAAAAUAAAUUCACCAAACCUCUUAUUGGUAUUAUUUUUGGAAAUGCAAGUGGUCCAUAUGAUUUGUGAUUUAACAUUGAGAUUAUGGUUGUAACCUCCAUUGUAAUUGCUAUUGGUUAUUAUUUAAUAAUUAGACGAUAUUUGCCUAAUUAUGAUUUAUAAUUUAUAAAUGCUUGGAGAAAUGGUUGUCGUAAUAAGAUUUGUAGGAGGAACACGAAGACUCGUCAAGGCCAAUGUUGGACCAUUUUUGGAGAAGAGCCUAAAAAUAAGAAAUGGCUUGUAUUUGAGGUUCCUUUCUUAUUCACACCAAUUGAACCACACAUAACCAAUUUGGUGAGUUAUGUUCAACUGUUGGUGAGGUGAUGAAGAUGGGAAUGUUGGCGAAAUGGCUUAAGAUAAUCAUGGAAAAUAAGAGCACAAUUAUAACAAUAACAAUUACAAUUUAUCCCGAUAACACCAAUCUGUUAACAGAUAUUACACAAAGAUCUUUAAGAAGCCCUUAGCGCCAUCUUUACGACCAUCUCCAAUAUAACUGUUAUUAACGUCAGAUGGCGAUGGUAAAAAAACAAUGGCUUUAACCGUUUAACCGAUUACUAAGCUUUUGUUGUUAUGCUUUAAAAUUGGGAUUUUGCUGAUCAGAUUAGUGUUUAAAUUCUGAUCAACUGUUCAUCUUAUUCAGUUCAGUGCCAUUUUUAGUGUCUAGCCUGGUUAAUAGCUCAUACAAUGUCAAAAGAGUGUUUAAUUAGAAUUGUCAAAGAGUCGUAAAAGAAUCAAUGAAGUUUUCAUUUUUAACUUGCCUUUACUCACCAGUUUCAGGUUACCCAUCAAUUAAUUGGCUGCUCGCCCAAAUUGUGUUACAACAACAAUUGUAACAGUUUCCAGUCUUAUCAGUCAACCAUCUAUGUUAUUAAAACUUCCGGAAUAAUUUGAAUUACAUCUAUUAUCUAAUCAUGUUCACCAUGUUUUUACCAGCAGAGCUUUUGGUGACUCUUUACCUUCAUUUUGUGAUGCAACCAAAGAUUACAAUGGAACCAUCAACAGGAAAUUUUAUUAAAAUUAACUUACAGCAGACGUCCUUAAUCAAUACUUAAUCAGUGCAAUGUCUUAUGAUUGGUGAAUUAUGUUUAUUUGCCAAUGUGAUAUCAAGAGACAAAUGUGAUUAAAAUUAGAAGGUUUAAUGUCUUGAGGUUCAACUUGCAAUUCUCAAGCAAUAUUGCAUACCAGUUGCCUCAAGUUUAUCAGAUUACUGUUUACUUUCGCUGAUUAGUGGCAACUUUCUAACUAUUAUAGCAGUAAAUGUACCAAUAACGAAGUGUAAUAAAUGUUAUCUAAUAAUCUAACCGAUAAUUGUAACAUAUUCAAAAUAUUUGCCAAUAAAACAAAAAAAUGUUAUUACAAUUGUA